rnacentral:misc_RNA from 1 species
GUAGGUGAACCUGCGGAAGGAUCAUUACAGAGAGGAGCUUCGCGCUCCAGGGGGUCCGCCCCCGCCUCUCAACCCUGUGUAAAUCAUACCUUUGUUGCUUUGGCGGGCCUUGAGGUCAUGCUCAUGCCGGGCAUUUGCCCGGCGAGCGCCCGCCAAAAGCCCACCAAAAAUCGUUUAAUUUAUGCUGUCAGAGUCUAUACACAAAUAAAGCAAAACUUUCAACAACGGAUCUCUUGGUUCUG